GGACUACCCGGGUAUCUAAUCCCGUUCGCUACCCACGCUUUCGUGCUUGAGUGUCAGGAAAGUGCCAGUGAAUUGCCUUCGCUUUCGGUGUUCCCCAUGAUAUCAACGGAUUUCACCCCUACACCAUGAGUUCCAUUCACCUCUCACUCCCUCGAGUCAUGCCGUUUCGACCGGAUUCUCCAAGUUGAGCUCGGAGCAUUUAACAGCCGACUAACAUGACCACCUACGCACCCUUUACGCCCAGUAAUUCCGGGUAAUGCUCGGGGCCUCUGUAUUACCGCGGCUGCUGGCAC
rnacentral:rRNA from 1 species